rnacentral:rRNA from 1 species
UUAUAAGAGACAGCAGCAGCCACGGGAAUACGAAGGGUGCAAGCGUUAAUCGGAAUUACUGGGCGUAAAGCGUGCGUAGGCGGUGAGUUAAGUCUGCCGUGAAAUCCCCGGGCUCAACCUGGGAAUGGCAGUGGAUACUGGCUCGCUAGAGUGUGUCAGAGGAUGGUGGAAUUCCCGGUGUAGCGGUGAAAUGCGUAGAGAUCGGGAGGAACAUCAGUGGCGAAGGCGGCCAUCUGGGACAACACUGACGCUGAGGCACGAAAGCGUGGGGAGCAAACAGGAUUAGAUACCCCCGUAGUCCCUGUCUCUUAUAC